rnacentral:rRNA from 1 species
GGGGAAUAUUGGACAAUGGGCGAAAGCCUGAUCCAGCAAUGCCGCGUGGAUGAAGAAGGUCUUCGGAUUGUAAAGUCCUCUCGGCGGGGACGAUGAUGACGGUACCCGCAGAAGAAGCCCCGGCUAACUUCGUGCCAGCAGCCGCGGUAAUACGAAGGGGGCUAGCGUUGCUCGGAAUGACUGGGCGUAAAGGGCGCGUAGGCGGUUUGAUCAGUUAGGUGUGAAAUUCCUGGGCUUAACCUGGGGGCUGCACUGAAUACGGUCAGACUAGAGUGUGGAAGAGGGUCGUGGAAUUCCCAGUGUAGAGGUGAAAUUCGUAGAUAUUGGGAAGAACACCGGUGGCGAAGGCGGCGACCUGGUCCAUUACUGACGCUGAGGCGCGAAAGCGUGGGGAGCAAAC